rnacentral:rRNA from 1 species
UCCCCUAGUAACUGCGAGUGAAGCGGGAAAAGCUCAAAUUUAAAAUCUGGCAGUCUCUCUUUUUUUCUUUGGCUGUCCGAGUUGUAAUCUAGAGAAGUGCUUACCCGUGCUGGACCAUGUAUAAGUCUCCUGGAAUGGAGCGUCAUANAGGGUGANAAUCCCGUCUUUGACAUGGACUUGCCAGUGCAUAGUGGUGUGCUCUCAAAGAGUCGAGUUGUUUGGGAAUGCAGCUCUAAAUGGGUGGUAAACUCCAUCUAAAGCUAAAUAUUGGCGAGAGACCGAUAGCGAACAAGUACCGUGAGGGAAAGAUGAAAAGGACUUUGGAAAGAGAGUUAAACAGUAUGUGAAAUUGUUGAAAGGGAAACACUUGAAGUCAGUNGUGUCUGCUUAGGGAUCAACUCAGCUCNUUUUGCUGGGUGAACUUCCUAGUGUGACAGGCCAACAUCAGUUCUGACUGUUGGAAAAGAGCAGAGGGAAUGUGGCACCUUUGGGUGUGUUAUAGCCUUUUGUCAUAUAUAGCAGUCGGGACUGAGGAAUUGCAGCGCGCCGCGAGGCAGGGUCUUUGACCACGUUCGCGCUUAGGAUGUUGGCGUUUAAUGGCUUCAAUUGACCCGUCUUGAAACACGGACCAAGGAGUCUAACAUGCCUGCGAGUGUNUGGGUGAAGAAACCCUUGUGCACAAUNAAAGUGAAAGUUGAGAUCCCUGUCGUGGGGAGCAUCGACGCCCGGACCUGAGCUUUUAGCGAUGGAUCUGCGGUAGAGCAUGCAUGUUGGGACCCGAAAGAUGGUGAACUAUGCCUGAAUAGGGCAAAGCCAGAGGAAACUCUGGUGGAGGCUCGUAGCGAUUCUGACGUGCAAAUCGAUCGU